rnacentral:tRNA from 1 species
AACAUAUAUUCGACUUAUGUUACGGCCAUAAGGUAGGUAUUAUAUGUACCGUAUGUUU